rnacentral:rRNA from 1 species
CAGUCGCCACGGGAAUACGAAGGGGGCUAGCGUUGUUCGGAAUUACUGGGCGUAAAGCGCACGUAGGCGGAUAUUUAAGUCAGGGGUGAAAUCCCAGAGCUCAACUCUGGAACUGCCUUUGAUACUGGGUAUCUUGAGUAUGGAAGAGGUGAGUGGAAUUCCGAGUGUAGAGGUGAAAUUCGUAGAUAUUCGGAGGGACACCAGUGGCGAAGGCGGCUCACUGGUCCAUUACUGACGCUGAGGUGCGAAAGCGUGGGGAGCAAACAGGAUUAGAUACCCCGGUAGUCCCUGUCUCUUAUAC